rnacentral:rRNA from 1 species
GACGAACGCUGGCGGCGUGCUUAACACAUGCCAGUCGAACGGAAAGGCCCUGCUUUUGUGGGGUGCUCGAGUGGCGAACGGGUGAGUAACACGUGAGUAACCUGCCCUUGACUUUGGGAUAACUUCAGGAAACUGGGGCUAAUACCGGAUAGGAGCUCCUGCUGCAUGGUGGGGGUUGGAAAGUUUCGGCGGUGGGGGAUGGACUCGCGGCUUAGCAGCUGGUUGUUGGGGGAGUGGCUUACCAAGGCUUUGACGGGUGGCCGGCCUGAGAGGGUGACGGGCCAGAUUGGGACUGAGCUACGGCCCAGAGUCCUACGGGAGGCAGCAGUGGGGAAUAUUGCACAAUGGGCGGAAGCCUGAUGCAGCAACGCCGCGUGCGGGAUGACGGCCUUCGGGUUGUAAACCGCUUUCGCCUGUGACGAAGCGUGAGUGAGGGUAAUGGGUAAAGAAGCACCGGCUAACUACGUG